rnacentral:rRNA from 1 species
CUAGCGGUUGGCUUACACAUGCAAGUCGAGCGGCAGAUACUCGGGUAACUGAGAGAUGGCGAGCGGCGCACGGGUGAGUAACGCGUAGGCAACUUACCUCUUGCAGGAGGAUAGCCCGGCGAAAGCUGGAUUAAUACUUCGGAUAUAUUGUUAAGGCAUCUUAAUAAUAUUAAAGAUUUAUCGGUAAGAGAUAGGCCUGCGUCCCAUUAGCUAGUUGGUAAGGUAAAAGCUUACCAAGGCAAUAAUGGGUAGGGGGUUUGAAAGGAUGAUCCUCCACACUGGCACUGAGACACGGGCCAGACUCCUACGGGAGGCAGCAGUGAGGAAUAUUGCGCAAUGGGCGAAAGCCUGACGCAGCCAAACCGCGUGCAGGAAGACGGUCGUAAGAUUGUAAACUGCUUUAGUAUCCGAGGAACAAUCAGAACGAGUUUUUGAUUUGACAGUAGGAUACGAACAAGCACCGGCUAACUCCGUGCCAGCAGCCGCGGUAAUACGGAGGGUGCAGGCGUUAUCCGGAUUUACUAGGUUUAAAGGGUCUGUAGGCUGUAUAUUAAGUCAGUGGUGAAAUGUCUGAGCUUAACUGAGGACUUGCCAUUGAAACUGGUAUACUUGAGUAUGGUUGCUGUCGGCGGAAUGUAUUAUGUAGCGGUGAAAUGCAUAGAUAUGAUACAGAACACCAAUUGCGAAAGCAGCUGACAAAACCAGCACUGACGCUGAUAGACGAAAGCGUGGGGAGCGAACAGGAUUAGAUACCCUGGUAGUCCACGCAGUAAACUAUGGGCACUAGUUUCUGGCGAUAGACAGUCAGAGACAAAGCGAAAGCGUUAAGUGCCCCACCUGGGGGAUUACGUUCCGCAAGGAUGAAACUCAAAGGAAUUGACGGGGGCCCGCACAAGACGGAGGAACAUGUGGCUUACUUCGAUGAUACGCGAGGAAACUUACCUGGGGCUUAAAUGCUAAGGCGUCUACCGGGCGUAAGUCUGUAGAAAAUACAGCUUAUACUUGCAAGGUGCUGCAUGGUUGUCGUCAGCUCGUGCCGUGAGGUGUCGGGUUA